rnacentral:rRNA from 1 species
AACGAACGCUGGCGGCAUGCCUAACACAUGCAAGUCGAACGAGACCUUCGGGUCUAGUGGCGCACGGGUGCGUAACGCGUGGGAACCUGCCCUUAGGUUCGGAAUAACUCCCCGAAAGGGGUGCUAAUACCGGAUAAUGUCUUCGGACCAAAGAUUUAUCGCCUUUGGAUGGGCCUGCGUUGGAUUAGCUAGUUGGUAGGGUAAAAGCCUACCAAGGCGACGAUCCAUAGCUGGUCUGAGAGGAUGAUCAGCCACACUGGGACUGAGACACGGCCCAGACUCCUACGGGAGGCAGCAGUGGGGAAUAUUGGACAAUGGGCGAAAGCAUGAUCCAGCAAUGCCGCGUGAGUGAUGAAGGCCUUAGGGUUGUAAAGCUCUUUUACCCGGGAUGAUAAUGACAGUACCGGGAGAAUAAGCGCCGGCUAACUCCGUG